UACGUAGGAGGCAAACGUUGUUCGGAUUUACUGGGCGUAAAGGGUGAGUAGGCGGAGCUAUAAGUCUGAUGUGAAAGCCCGGGGCUUAACCCCGGUCCCGCAUUGGAUACUGUAGUUCUCGAGUAAAGUAGAGGAUGACGGAAUUCCAGGUGUAAGGGUGGAAUCUGUAGAUAUCUGGAAGAACACCGAUGGCGAAGGCAGUCAUCUGGGCUUUUACUGACGCUGAAUCACGAAAGCUAGGGGAGCGAACAGG
rnacentral:rRNA from 1 species